rnacentral:rRNA from 1 species
GGGUUAGUAGGUUGGUCAUGCCUCUGGUAUGUACUGGUCUCACUGAUUCCUCCUUCUGAAUAACCAGCAUGCUAUUAAGUUAGUGCGUUGGGGAAGCAGAUCUAUUACCUUGAAAAAAUUAGAGUGCUUAAAGCAGGCUUAUGCUUGAAUAGAUUAGCAUGGAAUAAUAAAAUAGGACGGCAUGGUUCUAUUUUGUUGGUUUCUAGGAUCACCGUA